rnacentral:rRNA from 1 species
GACAGAGGUGCCGAGCGUUAGGCGGAAUCACUGGGCUUAAAGCGUGUGUAGGCGGAUUCCUAAGUACCUUGUGAAAUCCCACGGCUUAACCGUGGAACUGCUUGGUAUACUGGGUGUCUUGAGCCAACUAGAGGCAGUCGGAACAAACGGUGGAGCGGUGAAAUGCGUAGAUAUCGUUUGGAACGCCAAUGGUGAAAACAGAACUGCUGGGGUUGUGGCUGACGCUGAGACACGAAAAGCCAGGGGAG